rnacentral:rRNA from 1 species
UACGGGGGGAGCAAGCGUUGUUCGGAUUUACUGGGCGUAAAGGGCGCGUAGGCGGCCAGCACAAGUCAGUUGUGAAAUCUCCGGGCUUAACUCGGAAAGGUCAACUGAUACUGUGCGGCUAGAGUGCAGAAGGGGCAACUGGAAUUCUCGGUGUAGCGGUGAAAUGCGUAGAUAUCAGGAGGAACACCGGUGGUGUAGACGGCUCACUGGACCGUAACUGACGCUGAGACACGAAAGCGUGGGUAGCAAACAGG